UUUUGGCCAUUAUAGUAGUGGCAUCAUAAAUGUGGACAGCAUCUGGCUCCUUUCAUUCAGCAUAAUGUUUAUGAGUCAUUCAUAUCCUUGUGUAUAGCUGUAAUAUAUUAAUUCACUUGCUUAUUAUAGCCCAUUAUGUGAAUAGGCUGCAAUCUAUUUACUGAUGGACAUCUGGGUUGUUUCCAACUUUUAGCUAUUAGCUGAUAAUGUUGCUUGAGUCUUGCGCAUGCAUUCAGUAUACAUGUGCACAUAUUUCUGUUGGGUAUAAAUCUGCCAGGAGCAGUGUUCUUUCAACUUGAUCAACUGGUAUUUGUGAAUUCUCUGUAAAAAUUCUUCACAUAUUUAUUGUUAAGUGGCUUGCGUUUUCCUGAGUUUUGUUUUUAUUUUUAAGACAGAGUCUCACUGUGUAGUCCAGGCUGGCCUUGAACUCAUGGUGGUCCUCCUGCCUCAGCCUCCUGAGUGCUGGGAUUACAGGCAUAUGCCAGUACGCCUGGCUGUAUUUUACUGUUGAUUUGCGUGGGUUUCACUUACUGUGGGUAUGAAUUCUGUUGUAUUUGCUGGAAAUAUUUCCUCUCCGUCUUUGUUUACAGUGCCUUUUAUUUUACAGUUUAAAAUUUCUGUGUAGUCAAAUCUGUAACUCAUUUCCCAUAUGCUUUCUGGGUUUUAUAUCUCACUAUCUCAAAUUAUAAAAUAUUCUCUUAGGUUUCCUUCUAGGAUUCAUUUUAUUAUAAUUUUCACAUUAGGCUUUCUAAUUAGUUUGGAAUCUAUUUGUGAGGAUGAGCAGUAGAAGCUAAUUAUCUAACACUCAGGGGAUAAAUAAAAUUAAACCAUUUGCUACAUAGACCUUUAAUAUUUAUUUUUAAAAAUCUCAAGAUAGAUAACAACAUCAAAGACCUAAGAAACUGUCACAUUUUAAAAUUUUAUUUAUUUUUACUUUAGAAUAGUCUCCCCUAAGUUAAGCUUGAGUUAGAUUCCAAGGGACUCAAAUGUUCUAAUUUGGUGCAAACGACUGAAAUAGAGUGUGUGAACAGUCAGUGGCUAUUUAUUCACUUAGUAUGCACUUAUGUAAUUUAAAGCAUAGGACUUGAGGAUUUCUGUGUCUGAUAGGACCCUCAGGUAGCCUGGCUACAGGGGAUCUGGGCUCUCAGGUCAGGGAAACUACCGAGGCCCUUUCCCUCUCCAAACUCCAGCUGCCCUAAUCCGAGCAGCAGAGAACCUGUCUUCUCUUCCCAUCCCCAGGACAGAGAGAGAGAGAACAGGUGUGAGCUCACAAAUCCUGUGGUUGGCUUUGCUCCUAACAUGACUGCCUUAUGCAAGGCUGCCCACUUGAGGGAACCUUCUAGAGGCCAGCUGGUGGUCAGGUCACAGAAGGAAGCAGCUUGUUUGAAUCCAGCGUCUUUUCCCCUUGGUGUGAAAUGCACCAUGCCCAGUCAUGCCUGCUCCCCACUUGCUUGCAGUGUGUUGGGGGCUUUUUUCUCUCCACCACCUCCCCCUCCUUCACACGCUUUGGUGAACGCAGAUGUCUUGUUACUUAGUUAACAGGUUGUAGGGCUAUGGCUUAUGUCAGGGUGAGGAGAAGAAACAUCCUGCUCAGCUUAACAAAGAGCUCGGUGGAGGCUGGAUCGCUGAAUGUGCAACUGUGUGAGCUGCUUUUCUUGGAAAUUGCUCUGUUGGCCAGGCUCCAGAUACAUAAUCAAAGUGGCCUGAAAUCGCUAGUUCUGGCGCUUGCAUUCUUAGCUUCACAUUUGAAGGAUUUGCCCGGUGCUUGUUCUCAAAGCAGGGAAUUCUCUACUGUUUUGUCACACCACAUGACUCUGCCUGUGUGCAUAUGUGUGCGUGUGUGUGUUCCCGAGUGUGCUGUGUGGUACGUGGGGUUGUCUGCACGGAAUGUCUUACAGCAGAACUGUUUAUACCUGCAGACAGGCUGUGAUUAAAGAGCACAAAGUGUUACAGAGUUUCUUUGAUUUCAGGAAUGCCUCUCUGGAUUUGGGGUGUAUGUAUUGGAGACAUGUGCCAGAGAUCCUGUACAGAAGAGAGUGACCACUCUGUUGUCCUCGCAGGAUUCUAUGUCAGAGAUAUCUGAGGAUAAUCUGCCUAGCACAAGUCAGGGAGCCAUUUUGGGGAGAACAGGUGUAUGUGACCAGGCAUUGGGGAAGUGAAGACCUACGCUUUGAGGAAGUGAGGUUUGAAGUCGUCAAGCAGUUAUUUAUAUCUGAGCGGUGUGUAUCGAAAGCCUUUCAUUCCGCCACCGUCACAAAACUGGUUUGCUGCAGAGGAAGGGCGUGUGCUUGGCCUUGUUAAAUAUCUGCUGUACUCAGAACUUCUGAUAUGGUUCCAGUUUCUGGUAACUUGUACCCAGACUCUGCCAUGGUAAAGUGGGUGCUUAUGUACUCCACCCUUGGCCUGCUUUGUGGACGAAAUGGCUCACAUCUGAUUGGUUGCUUGUGACUUGAUUUUGUUUCUUUUCCCAGGAUACCACCCCCAUGGGAGCACCCCCAAACCCUGGGUUGGAAGGCAGCUUCUAGUGAUUUUUAAGCUCAAAAUGAGCACAUUAGACUCUAAUCACUCCAGAGAAACGCAGUAGGAACUACUGGAUCUUCUGUCAUGAUGAAUGAAGUCUCCAGUAACCAGCUUCUGUUUUUAUAGCACAUGGGUUCUAAUGGUUCUCCCCCACCCCCAGACUCUUUUGGUUAUGGGAAAUGAGUGUGUUUUGGGACAAACAUGUCAGAAUUAUGAGGGAGAAACUUGGCAGUGGAACAAACUAUGGGCUGUGCUUGACAGCACUUGAGAAACAAUACAUCUCAGAUUCCUCUCAGACAGCCCUUAGUUUCUGGUCCAAAAUUAUGAGUCAGAAGCCACAGAAAGGGAAGAACCACCACAGCCCCCCGAGGGGCCUCCCAGCUGGUCAUCUCUAGGAAGCCAGCAGAGACCAUCUCUGCACAGAAAAGGGAGAAUGUAAUCCUGCUCCAGCUCCUGCUUAGGAUGAUACUGAAAAGAAAGAACUUGUGGCCUGAAUUAUGAGAAGACCAGGAAAUAGAUGUCCAAAAAAGCAGCGUCCCCAUCAUGAGAAAGCAGGAGGGAAAGACAAGAUGGCGGGAGACCCGAGCUUGUCUGUGUGAGCGUUUAGAUUUUCCUGGAUUUGCCUAAUCCUAGUCUUCAGGAGUUUGCCUUUGACAAGGGUAAACACAGUUUAAUAGUGAGGCGAUGAGAGUCCACAUAAUUAAAACUUGUUGAGUUGAACAGGAAACAUUCAAGGGAAAGCUGCAGGUACCCAUGAGCAGGGGUGAAACUGGGAGGACCUUGACAAGUCUGCUCCUUCUGCCCCAAGGGCAGUGUCCUGGCACAGAGCCACCAACGACAGCAGAGGAAACAGACGGCUCAUAAAAAAGGCAUGGCAUUGCUAAGACUACGGCUGUCUUAGGAUUUAUUUUAGCAUGGGUCUGUUCUCAGCUCCCUGCCACAUUUCACCACGCAAAGUAAAGAAAGAAAGCUCCCAAAUCAAUGAGAAAAAGAAAAGCCAGUAUUUUCUGAAAUCCCGGUUUGCACUGCGAUUGCUAUUCUUCCUGAAGGGAGGAACGUGACUCCUUUCUCCUCGGAUCCUGUGUUCUCCUGGUUCCCAGCCUGCUCACACCAGAGGAGCAGCCAGCUGCGGUGAUGAAUGGGAGGCGAGCCCAGCUCUGGCUCUGUCGAUUUGUUUUCUCUGUGUCACACAGUAAAAGUGAAGAAUCGUAAUGAUAGUCCCAUUUGGGUUUAUUGACCAUCGAAUAGACUAUUGAGAAGAUGCAUUAAUGAAGAAAUAAAUUCAUUGCAGAAUUGCAGACAGAGUGGAACAACUAUCAUUACCAGUAGAUUUUCUGUCCCUUCAGGGAAAACUUGGAUGUUUGAAUUAAGUUGGAAGCAAAAGAAUUGCCAUUACUUUCACAGAGUGCAAAGUCUCUGGUACUAAAGACAAAAUUUGCUUACAUUCUGUCUUAAUUCCAUCAACUUGUGAAGCUAAGUCCUAGUCUUGGUUUUAUAGGCAGAGCAUGUGGCAGAUAUAACCAGUUGCUAGCCAACAUCCCCCGUCUUUAUCCCCCACCAAGUGCCAGCUGCACACAGGCACUGCUUCUGGGGUCCAAGCCUACGUAGGCUUCCCAGGCAACUGCUGCUGACUCUCCUGCAACUGUGGAUGUCUCUGUGGUGGGUGCGGCCCUGGCCAGUGAGACUCCAAUGGAAAUUUCUGGGACUUCUGGAAAAGAAUUGCUUUCCAAGGUUGGCACUUUCAUCUUUGUUCCCUCCCUUCUCCUUGCUGUGCACCUGGUGGCAAAGUGGCCUGGAGACAACUAAAGAGGAAAGUCAUAUUCUGAGGGAGCUGCACAGGAAGACAGAAGGAACCCUGGAGGCUGCUGAUGUCAUAAAGCCACUGCGUCUCCCCAGGACACCUUCACAGCAUUAUGUGAAAGACUUGUAAGCCAUGGUUUCAUUAAUCCAGGCAGGCUGAGUUUCUGUGACAGACAAAUGAAUGCUGCCUCCACUAAGAUAGGGGAAACUGAGCUGAAGUUUGAGUGACUUAGGUUUCCAUAUAAAGUGAUGUUUCAAAGCUGAGUAAGACAUAGUACCCACCCGUGAAGACUCCAGAGCUGAGUUUGGGAGGUAGCUAUAUAAAGAAACAAUUCUAACAACAUCAGUAUAAUGACAGUGAUUUGCAUAGGGGUUCGUGGAUGCCUCGGGAGGGGAAAUAAAAAGAAGUGACACAAAAGUGGAACUGAAGUUAAGCAGGCAAAAACCAGAGGUGGGAAAACAACUGAUAGCUGGAGUCAGUGUACCAAAGUGAGACCCAGCAUAGCACACAUGGGGGGCCCAGUGCAGGUCUGAGUUGUUGGAGCGUAAAGCAGAAGGUAGGCAGUGGUGGGAGACACAUUUGAGGUCUUUCAUUUAGCUAUUGCUACAGUACAAGUUACCCCCAUAACUAAGCACACCCAAAAUAACUACUUUCCAUUAUUUCCCAGAAUCCUACAGUCUGAGCUGAGUGCUGCUGAAUGGUUCUUCUGUUCAUGUAGUGUCUGUUGGAGUGGAAAUACCCAAGAAAACUUUACUCCUGUAUUUGGUGCCUCCCGCUGGGAUAUCAGGAAUAGCCGACCGCCUGGGCAUCUCUCCUUCCAAGUAGCCACUCUGUGUGGACAGCUUGAGCCUCUUCAUAGGAGGGUGAUCCCAAGAUAUUUGACUUUUUAAAUGGUGGGUGGCUUUCUGUGGAGAGAAAGAGGGUGUUGCCAGUGAAUUUAAGAUCCAGGUCGUGAAGUACCAGAAACACUAAUUCCUCUGACUUCCAACCUGCUUGCUGUUAAUCAAAGCAGAUCACAGGUCAGCCUGGAGUCAGGAGAGAACAAAUAGCUUCUGCCUCUUGGUGGGAAGCCCAGUAUGCACAUAUAUGGAGAGAAGAGUUAGCAGGGGCUUUCUUUGGAGUCUACCUACCACAGAGGUAAGAAGCGGGGAGAAGAAAAAAGACAUCUGUGGGUUGGUAUGAACACCAGACUUGGGAGUUUGCCCGACUUCAGCUUGGGAAUCGGAGAGAAGGAUGGAUCUCAGGCUGCAGAACAGGCAGGAUAGGCACAGCCAGGCAGAGGAAAGGCUGGGGUUUGCUUCUCCAAAUCCCCUUUGGUUUCCGUGGGGCAAGGACUGGUUACAGAGCUUCCCAUAUGUCACAGAAGAUAGUUUAGCUGAGAAUCAGAGAACCCUACUCAGGGCCCAUUAUGGUGAAGGACAAAGUGAGUCCAUAGCAAAGGUUAGAUGGGUCUCUCAGGCCAUGCGCUGGAUGAGAGACUGACAGAGAAUCUCUGGAAUCAGUCCAGGCUGAGUCUGCCUGGGGGAAUCAUUUUACUGAGCCCCCGUUAAGCCAAAGUACCAAGAAUCUCUCAGCCACCCUGCCACAGAGAUCAGCAAGGGUCUAGAAAGCUUGGUGUGGACUCCAGAGGUUUAUCUCUUAACUCUCCCACCCCACCACAAAGUCACAAACGACAACACGUUGCUUGCGUAAUGACUUCCCAUCCGCCAUCUUGGAGAACUGGAAGGGACCAGAGAUAACUGGAGAGUCUAAGAAUGGGUCUCAUGGAAAUCCCUGGACAGCACUGGAAUUGACUCCACAAGAGAGAUGCCAGGAAGGACAAGUGAAUUGUAAUGAAAUAAAAAAUCCGUGUUAGGUAAAUUAAAAGAAUUUUGAAUAAUGGCACCCUAGGGAAUGGCAGUUACUUCUCCAGGAGAGAAGGGGAUGUAGAGCCUGCAGAGAACCUCCCUGUUCAGCUGGGCCUUUAUUUCUGCAGUUAGGGCUCGGCUAGAUAGGUGUUGUUGUGUCCUUGGUGCCUUUCUGUGUGUUAUAAAACAGUUCCUAAUGUAAUUGUUUAAAGCAUUUAU